CAGCGAAAGCGAGUCUGAACAGGGCGUUCAGUUCGAUGCAUUAGACCCGAAACCAAGUGAUCUAGCCAUGAGCAGGUUGAAGGUACGGUAACACGUACUGGAGGACCGAACCCAUAUCUGUUGCAAUAGAUCGGGAUGACUUGUGGCUAGGGGUGAAAGGCCAAUCAAACUUGGAGAUAGCUGGUUCUCCGCGAAAUCUAUUUAGGUAGAGCGUCGACCGAAUACCCCCGGGGGUAGAGCACUGGAUGGGCUAUGGGGACUCACCGUCUUACUGAUCCUAACCAAACUCCGAAUACCGGGGAGUACUAGUCGGCAGACACACGGCGGGUGCUAACGUCCGUCGUGGAGAGGGCAACAACCCUGACCACCAUCUAAGGUCCCUAAGUUAUGGCUAAGUGGGAAAGGAUGUGAGGAUCCCAAAACAACCAGGAUGUUGGCUUAGAAGCAGCCAUCAUUUAAAGAAAGCGUAACAGCUCACUGGUCUAAAUAAGGGUCUUUGCGCCGAAAAUGUACCGGGGCUCAAGCCAUACACCGAAGCUGUGGAUGCACGUAUGUGCGUGGUAGCGGAGCGUUCCGUAAGCCUGUGAAGGGACAGUCGUGAGACAUCCUGGAGGUAUCGGAAGUGAGAAUGCUGACAUGAGUAACGAUAAAGGGAGUGAGAGACUCCCUCGCCGAAAGUCCAAGGGUUCCUGCUUAAAGUUAAUCUGAGCAGGGUUAGCCGGCCCCUAAGGCGAGGCCGAAAGGCGUAGUCGAUGGGAACCACGUUAAUAUUCGUGGGCCUGCAGGUGGUGACGGAUCGCGUGUGUUGUGAGGUCUUAUUGGAUUGAUCUUGCAGCGAAGCGGUUCCAGGAAAUAGCUCCUGCAUAUAGACCGUACCCUAAACCGACACUGGUGGACUGGUAGAGAAUACCAAGGCGCUUGAGAGAACUGCGUUGAAGGAACUCGGCAAAAUGCACGCGUAACUUCGGAAGAAGCGUGACCUCACUAUGGGCAACCAUAGGGGGGUGGCACAGACCAGGGGGUAGCGACUGUUUACCAAAAACACAGGGCUCUGCGAAGUCGCAAGACGACGUAUAGGGUCUGACGCCUGCCCGGUGCUGGAAGGUUAAGAGGAGAGGUGCAAGCCUUGAAUUGAAGCCCCAGUAAACGGCGGCCGUAACUAUAACGGUCCUAAGGUAGCGAAAUUCCUUGUCGGGUAAGUUCCGACCUGCACGAAUGGCGUAACGACUUCCCCGCUGUCUCCAACGCAGACUCAGUGAAAUUGAAUUCCCCGUGAAGAUGCGGGGUUCCUGCGGUUAGACGGAAAGACCCCGUGCACCUUUACUAUAGCUUUACACUGGCAUUCGUGACGACAUGUGUAGGAUAGGUGGUAGACUUUGAAGCAGGGGCGCCAGCCUUUGUGGAGUCACCCUUGAAAUACCACCCUUGUUUUUAUGGAUGUCUAACUGCGGCCCGUUAUCCGGGUCCAGGACCGUGUAUGGUGGGUAGUUUGACUGGGGCGGUCGCCUCCUAAAGAGUAACGGAGGCGCGCGAUGGUAGGCUCAGAACGGUCGGAAAUCGUUCGUCGAGUGCAAUGGCAUAAGCCUGCCUGACUGCAAGACUGACAAGUCGAGCAGAGACGAAAGUCGGUCAUAGUGAUCCGGUGGUCCCGCGUGGAAGGGCCAUCGCUCAACGGAUAAAAGGUACGCCGGGGAUAACAGGCUGAUGACCCCCAAGAGUCCAUAUCGACGGGGUUGUUUGGCACCUCGAUGUCGACUCAUCGCAUCCUGGGGCUGGAGCAGGUCCCAAGGGUAUGGCUGUUCGCCAUUUAAAGCGGUACGUGAGUUGGGUUCAGAACGUCGUGAGACAGUUCGGUCCCUAUCUGCCGUGGGUGUAGGAAUAUUGACAGGAUCUGUCCCUAGUACGAGAGGACCGGGAUGGACGUAUCUCUGGUGGACCUGUUGUGGCGCCAGCCGCAUAGCAGGGUAGCUAUAUACGGACGGGAUAACCGCUGAAGGCAUCUAAGCGGGAAACCCACCUGAAAACGAGUAUUCCCUAUCAGAGCCGUGGAAGACCACCACGUUGAUAGGCCGGGUGUGGAAGUGCGGCAACGCAUGCAGCUUACCGGUACUAAUAGCUCGAUCGACUUGAUCAC
rnacentral:rRNA from 1 species